CUGUAGCCAAGCUACUAAGGGCUGGCGGUGGAUGCCUCGGGUGCGGGAGGCGAUGAAGGGCGUGGUAAGCUGCGAUAAGCCCCGGGGAGCCGCAAACAGGCGUUGAUCCGGGGAUGCCCGAAUGGGGAAACCCGGCUGGGGUAAUACCCAGUCAUCCAUGGGUUAAAAGCCCAUGGAGGCGACACCGGGGGAAGUGAAACAUCUCAGUACCCCGAGGAAAAGAAAUCAACCGAGAUUCCCUGAGUAGCGGCGAGCGAAAGGGGAGGAGCCUAAACCAGACAGGUGUAAAAGCCCGUGGGCGUUGCCUGUCUGGGGUCGUGGGACUACACCGGAGGAGGCCACGGACUCCUCGGGGAGUUACAAAACCGUCUCCUUAGCCGAAGGCGCCUGGAAUGGCCCGCCAGAGAGGGUGAAAGCCCCGUAGGCGAAAAGGAGACGGUCUCCCUGGGUGUAGAUCCCGAGUAGCACGGGACACGUGAAAUCCCGUGUGAAUCAGGGGGGACCACCCUCCAAGGCUAAAUACUACCCGCACACCGAUAGCGCACAAGUACCGUGAGGGAAAGGUGAAAAGAACCCCGGGAGGGGAGUGAAAUAGAAC
rnacentral:rRNA from 1 species